rnacentral:rRNA from 1 species
GUUGUAUAGUCAAGUAAUUAAGUGCAUGUGGUGGAUGCCUUGGCAGUCAGAGGCGAUGAAAGACGUGAUAGCCUGCGAAAAGCUCCGGGGAGGCGGCAAAUAUCCUUUGAUCCGGAGAUGUCUGAAUGGGGGAACCCACCUACUUUAAGGUAGGUAUUGCAACAUGAAUACAUAGUGUUGCAAGGCGAACGAGGGGAAGUGAAACAUCUCAGUACCCUUAGGAAAAGAAAUCAAUUGAGAUUCCCUCAGUAGCGGCGAGCGAACGGGGAUCAGCCCAUUAAGUUAUGUGUGUUUUAGUGGAACGCUCUGGGAAGUGCGAACGUAGAGGGUGAUAUUCCCGUACACGAAAGGGCACACAUAAUGAUGACGAGUAGGGCGAGGCACGUGAAACCUUGUCUGAAUAUGGGGGGACCAUCCUCCAAGGCUAAAUACUCCUGACUGACCGAUAGUGAACCAGUACCGUGAGGGAAAGGCGAAAAGAACCCCUGUGAGGGGAGUGAAAUAGAUCCUGAAACCGCAUGCAUACAAGCAGUGGGAGCACCUUCGUGGUGUGACUGCGUACCUUUUGUAUAAUGGGUCAGCGACUUAUAUUCAGUAGCGAGGUUAACCGUAUAGGGGAGCCGUAGAGAAAUCGAGUCUUAAUAGGGCGUUUAGUUGCUGGGUAUAGACCCGAAACCAGGCGAUCUAUCCAUGAGCAGGUUGAAGGUUGGGUAACACUAACUGGAGGACCGAACCCACUGUCGUUGAAAAGCCAGGGGAUGACUUGUGGAUAGGGGUGAAAGGCUAAUCAAGCCUGGUGAUAGCUGGUUCUCCCCGAAAGCUAUUUAGGUAGCGCCUCGGACGAAUACCAUAGGGGGUAGAGCACUGUUUCGGCUAGGGGGUCAUCCCGACUUACCAAACCGAUGCAAACUCCGAAUACCUAUGAGUACUAUCCGGGAGACAGACUGCGGGUGCUAACGUCCGUAGUCAAGAGGAAAACAAUCCAGACCGCCAGCUAAGGCCCCAAAAUCAUAGUUAAGUGGGAAACGAUGUGGGAAGGCAUAGACAGCUAGGAGGUUGGCUUAGAAGCAGCCACCCUUUAAAGAAAGCGUAAUAGCUCACUAGUCGAGUCGGCCUGCGCGGAAGAUGUAACGGGGCUAAAACUAUGUGCCGAAGCUGCGGAUNNNAUGCUGGAGGUAUCAGAAGUGCGAAUGCUGACGUGAGUAACGACAAAACGGGUGAAAAACCCGUUCGCCGAAAGACCAAGGGUUCCAGUCCAACGUUAAUCGGGGCUGGGUGAGUCGACCCCUAAGGCGAGGCCGAAAGGCGUAGUCGAUGGGAAAAUGGUUAAUAUUCCAUUACUUCUGUGUAAUGCGAUGAGAGGACGGAGAAGGCUAAAUCAGCCUGGCGUUGGUUGUCCAGGUGAAAGGAUGUAGGCAUGUAUCUUAGGCAAAUCCGGGGUACUCUAUGCUGAGAUCUGAUAGCAAGCUGUACUUGUACAGCGAAGUGGUUGAUGCCAUGCUUCCAGGAAAAGUCUCUAAGCUUCAGUUACACAGGAAUCGUACCCGAAACCGACACAGGUGGUCAGGUCGAGUAGACCAAGGCGCUUGAGAGAACUCUGCUGAAGGAACUAGGCAAAAUGGUACCGUAACUUCGGGAGAAGGUACGCUGUUGUUGGUGAUGGAACUCGCUUCCUGAGCUGACGACAGCCGCAGAAACCAGGCCGCUGCAACUGUUUAUUAAAAACAUAGCACUCUGCAAACACGAAAGUGGACGUAUAGGGUGUGAUGCCUGCCCGGUGCUGGAAGGUUAAUUGAUGGGGUUAGCGUAAGCGAAGCUCUUGAUCGAAGCCCCAGUAAACGGCGGCCGUAACUAUAACGGUCCUAAGGUAGCGAAAUUCCUUGUCGGGUAAGUUCCGACCUGCACGAAUGGCAUAAUGAUGGCGGCGCUGUCUCCAGCAGAGGCUCAGUGAAAUCGAAAUCGCUGUGAAGAUGCAGUGUACCCGCGGCUAGACGGAAAGACCCCGUGAACCUUUACUGCAGCUUGACACUGAACUUUGACCUUACUUGUGUAGGAUAGGUGGGAGGCUUUGAAGCUGGAACGCUAGUUCCAGUGGAGCCGUCCUUGAAAUACCACCCUGGUAAUGUUGAGGUUCUAACUCUGUCCCGUGAUCCGGGACGAGGACCGUGUCUGGUGGGUAGUUUGACUGGGGCGGUCUCCUCCUAAAGAGUAACGGAGGAGUACGAAGGUGCGCUCAGCGUGGUCGGAAAUCACGCGUAGAGUAUAAAGGCAAAAGCGCGCUUAACUGCGAGACCCACAAGUCGAGCAGGUACGAAAGUAGGUCUUAGUGAUCCGGUGGUUCUGUAUGGAAGGGCCAUCGCUCAACGGAUAAAAGGUACUCUGGGGAUAACAGGCUGAUACCGCCCAAGAGUUCAUAUCGACGGCGGUGUUUGGCACCUCGAUGUCGGCUCAUCUCAUCCUGGGGCUGAAGCAGGUCCCAAGGGUAUGGCUGUUCGCCAUUUAAAGAGGUACGCGAGCUGGGUUUAGAACGUCGUGAGACAGUUCGGUCCCUAUCUACCGUGGGCGCUGGAAAUUUGAGAGGAUCUGCUCCUAGUACGAGAGGACCAGAGUGGACGAACCUCUGGUGUACCGGUUGUGACGCCAGUCGCAUCGCCGGGUAGCUAUGUUCGGAAGGGAUAACCGCUGAAAGCAUCUAAGCGGGAAGCCUACCUCAAGAUAAGAUUUCCCUAGGACUUUAUGUCCUCUAAAGAGCCGUUCGAGACUAGGACGUUGAUAGGUUGGAUGUGGAAGCAUAGUGAUAUGUGAAGCUGACCAAUACUAAUUGCUCGUGAGGCUUGACUAUACAACACCCAAGCAGUUG